UAGAAUGUGUCUUUUAUUCCAUGCCAGCUCCAUCUUAGUGUCAGGACAUUCAGAAGGUAGAAAAGCAAGGGAACAACGGCAGAAGUGACAAAGCCAAAGAAAUGUAGUGAGCAGAAGAUGAAGCCACACACAUGCUGGUGAUGGGACGCAAGCCCUGGAUAACACUGUUCUUAGAAGUUUAUUGCACUGACAGCUUUGGCAACAGCAUCAAAGACAAGCACGGGCAGAUGAAGAAUAGAAGUUCCAUGGCAUGUGUUGGAUAUCACAUUUCAGUUCAAGUGGAAAUCCUGCAAACGUCUCUGUGCGUUUCAACGCAUUCACUCUCUCUCUAAUUAAACCUGUUGUUUUCACUCAGCCAAAAAUAUUUUACUCCAUAGGUCACCUCAGCGGUUGUUAUAAGAAUGCUGCUGCUAUUGUUUACAGUCUGCUGAUAUUGUGUGGCACUACGCUACUAGACAAGUGACAACAUGCUGCUUACUGAUCUUUCCCCAUCCUGAAAAACUGGCAGAUUCUGUUGAUUGCGUUACACUUCAGAACCAGUUUUUUAUAAUUUAACAAUAGGCGACUGGAUGAUAUACUAGAGUGAUAAUAUGCUCCAUAUUCUUUGUGCAAUUUAAAAAGUAACCCACAUUCAGUAUACAUGCUUUCAAUAACAUGACUGAGCAGUCACGCACCCUGAUCCUGACCCCUGAUUUUGGUGCUCGUGGAUAUGACAUUUAUUAUUUACAGCAGUGCAACUGUGUGAGAGUACAUCUGAGUCUCUGGUGAGGCCCAAGUUCACUGCAGGCCCCUUCCACCAUUCUUAAAAUGUAAUUAUAGGGUGAAUUUUUUUUUUGACACAGGCAUUUGACAACUCUGUUUAAAUUUUCCAUUUGCGUAAUAUAUUGAGCAAAGAUGAUUUGUUAAUAUUCACAAGUUGUUAUUUAACAUAAUUUCUGAUUUUUGUAAAGAAAGAAGAAAAAAAAGGAGGGGCAUUAUUUUAAUUUAUUUAUUUUAGAUAAACGUAAAACCUACAAACAUUUAUUAUGUUAUAUAAAUAAAUAUCUUACAGUAGGAAUAAAAGUAUUUUAGUGUGGAAGUGUGUGAUUGUGUUUUGGCUUUUACAAUGAUGUAAAAGAAAAAUAAUGAAAACAACGAACUAGGCCAAAUAUUGAUGUUAUGUUGGACUACUCAAAGUGCACUGAAAUUUUACUCUCAAUUAUUACAAGAUAUAGCCCAGCUUAGUACACAUAUUAUGGACAAAUUUCAAACAAAACACAACUGAACUAAAACAAAAAUAUAAAUAUGAUUUCCCUAUAAAUAGGAUUUAGAAUAAAAAUUUCCACAUCUCUUUAAAAGUAUGCUAAAAGGUUAACAAUUUCCGUGUUCAAUUUUAAAUAAAUACAGCCCAUUUUUUAUGUAAAAGAGACAAGUACUAUUUUCCCCUCUAAUUAAGGGAUUUUAAUAAAAUAAAAUAAAGAUUAGGCCUGUGGGGUUUAUCUAGUAUAUGCUUUUUUCUAAAAGCAUGUAUUCCCUUAAGGCCAGACCUUAAUGUUGAGUGUGUGUUGAUGUUUAGAGAUGGCGCAGAUCCAGCGCGGCGCAGUCCACCCCAUCGGGACUGUAUUAGAUCUCUAAUUGAUGCCUCUCCCCUCGUCGCUGACAGUUACGCACAAACCAGGAUCAGGUCACGGAAUUUAGCGCGACCUGAAGAUGUGGCGUAGACCGCCUUCAGAGCCUACAGUGGAUUAAAAACAUAAUGAGAGCAUGGCUGAGAAAGUAAAACACACCAGGGCCAUAGGAAGAAGAAGACGAGAAGAAAAAGAAGAAAUCUCACACAACAAAUUCUUUUUUUUAACCAGUUUUGCUUUGUUUUAUUUUAUUAUUUGCUAUUUGCUACAUAAAAACACUAUUAGUCAACAUGUAUGAAUUUAUAAAAGCUUGGACUGAAAUAAGUUUGAGGAUGAAAUAUAUAAACAUUACAAGCUGAAUCAUUUUUGGAUGAUCUUUCUUACUGUGCUGCACUUUGACUAAACCGUCCUGUAAGUAUAUUGUUAUGUUUGUGUCAAACAGGAAUGUUAUAUGAAUUAUUUCUUCAGUUCCCCAGAAGUCACCUUUCUCUGUGGCCAAUAAAGGUGUUGACAUCGUCAUGCCAUUUGCGUGUAUUCUAAUGUUUGUGUGUGUUUGCUUGUUUUCAUGCUUGUCACAAAGAAAUAGAGAGUGGGAGGUCGGGGUGGGACUGCCAUCGCUGUUGAAUUUAUGAGUGUGUCGUGAAGCAUCUCUGACGCAGGCAGACUAAACAGAGUCUGUGCGUACACGUAAACACAUACAUACAUCCUGCCCUCAUCAGAGAAGACAUCACGGGACAUGAAAAACAGCACAAAGCCAAACUGUGGAAUUAAUCAUAAAGAUGAGUUCUAUUUUAUCCAUUGACCAGUCGAACUUAAGGCCGUGUGGCUGCUGCGUGGCUGCAGCUCUUAAAAGGAAAAUUAUACUGGUGUCAGCAGAAAACGUAACUGGUAAAGUCAUGUUUAUAGUGAAACAGUCCUCAGACUCACCCACCCAUCCCCAUCCUGCAACCCCUCACUGUGGUUUCUCUUUUUGCACCUUGUGUUUUGCUUUUGUUGUAAGUUUCUUCCCGGCACUGACAAAAGGGGACAAUGUUGUCUGUUACAUAAGACCAACCUAGUAUUGUUAAGAGUUGGGUGACUUUGGAAACAUGCAUUGCACUUCUUGAUAUGGAAGAUUAGGCUCGGAUGAGGAUGUUCAUUCCCCCUCCUUUUCAUCUAUGUUAAGACUAGCAUGCCAGCUCUCUGACUAAGAGUGAAGUGCCGACACCCCUGGAGUGGAUUCUGAGCAUACCAAGGAGGAGAUGCCUUUGAAAGGACAGAUGUUCCUGGGCUUAGCCUGCCUCCUACCCAACCUACCCACCACUCGCCUUCCAUUGUAUAUUUGUUCUUGCUCUAUAAAUAACUGGCCGGUAUAAGUCACAGAAAAAUGUAACCGAUGCGCCGCUGACCUCUGAGCCCCUCAUCUUUGGGAGUGAAAGACACUUUGAAAAGAAGCAACUAAAGCAUUAGAAAAGUUGGCUGAUGCAGACAUGGUAAAUGGAUUUGGGCUAAGGGACACAGUGAGCACACCCAUUUUGUCCACAUAAAGACCGGUCUUGAUGUCUGGACCGGCUCAGCUGUCUUAUGUAACAGCAGUUUGUAGUCGUGACAGAUGAGGCGUGAUGGGCUCAAGCCAGUUCAGCCACAUAAUCCAAAAAUAUACCAGCCGUAUUUAUGGGAUAAUAUAAGCGUAUUUGGAGUUCUUAAAAUUUCAAAACUGAAAGCCAAGUUUGCUUGCCUGAGAAUUUCCAUGUCGGUGGAAAGAAAAUGAUACACAAUAAAAAUAUUUAAAAAUAUUUAUAAUAUUUAAUUUUUCACCAAAACUUCUGUGCCACUUCAAGUACCAAAACGAUCACGUGUUGCUAGUUUCCACUUGAAGCCUUUUUGCAAGUUUUGUGAGACUGCAGAGUGUUUGCCCUCUCGCAGUGGCUGCAGGGAUGAAUGGAUGAUUGUUCUUUGGCCCUUGUGACAACCCUCCUGGGGCCCAUCAAUUCGCCGAGCCUCCUGGAACAUCAGGUCAUGGCUAACCAGGCUCUGAAGCGGCAGCCUGGCCUCACUGUGCUGAUUUUUCCCCAGUUAGAGCUCAGGACCUCCAGGGCGCACAGCUGGGUCCCUUAAAAAAGCCCAGCUGAAUGGUUUUAGAAACACUGCAGCUCCUCUUACCCCACACUCACUCUCCAUCGAGAACAGCGCCGAUAUCAGAUACUGUGUUUUUUACUUGAUAUGUUCAUCUUUGCUUGCCAAAGCCCCUGGAAACCGUAUUAAAGUCUGUGUUCCAUAUUUUCAACCAAUGGGCCUCUUUAAGUCGAAGAAUUUGUCCAAAAUUUCCAUCAACCCCUUUCUCCUUUUCUUUUCCCACAUUUUUCUCCACAUGUCUACAUUUCCCUGCCUCUUCCCCACAUGCUCACACACAUCUUAAUUUUCUCUCUUCCCCCCUCCAGCUCUGCUAUCGUGUUGUAUCAGUUACAGCUGACCACCAGUCAGGUGGGUCUGCGGGAGAUUUUAGAUCACGGAGGGGCAGCCAGCUCUCUCAAUGCCUUCAGCCUGCUCCUAGACUCGAGUCCCAGGCCCCGCUGAGGCCUUGUCAUGGGCAGCGCAAAGAGACACCUGGCCAAACUACAGAAACACUUCCAGCUGCAGGCUGCCUGAUGCUCACCACAGAGAGAAUUCAGGCCAAAGGUGGAGAAGUGGAGCUCAACUAUUUCUCUGGGUUUGAGUCCAUAUCGUGUUUAUUUUAAUUGCAGCACCAAGCAUUUGCCUGUAGAAUCUGAGGCUGUUUUUCUUUUUCUUUAAAAAAAUAACAAUUGCACAACAUCACAAUAAAAUUCUCAUUCCACAAAACAAAGUGAAAGAGCUUUAAGACUUCUCUCAAAGUGAAAGUGGAGCAACUCAAGGGGCAGAGAAAAAAAAACGCCUGAGAGAGAACAACAGCUCCCUUUUCUCUGCAACCAGUUGACAUGAAAGACCACAUUAUGUCUGAGAUUAGAGGCAAUUACACUGGGAGUGCGCUUCAAGACCUUUGUUUGCCAACAUGACAGGAGGGAGCAGGGCUGUAAUUUGAUGAGGGGGCUGCGCGAGUGAGAAACUCUGCAUGGCAAGCUCCUGGCAGACGGGAGGCAAAGAGAAGCCUUUGUC